rnacentral:ncRNA from 1 species
UAAAAGCAUGGUCCCGACUUUUAUGUCAACUACAGCCAAACUUACACAUGCAAGUAUCCGCAUACCAGUGAGAAUGCCCUCAACCCCAAAUGGAUGAGAGGAGCUGGCAUCAGGCACGCACCAGCAGCCCAAGACGCCUUGCUCAGCCACACCCCCAAGGGUCCUCAGCAGUGAUUAACAUUAAAAAUGAGUGAAAGCUCGACUUAGUUAUGGCUAAAAGAGCCGGUUAAACUCGUGCCAGCCGCCGCGGUUAUACGAGAGGCCCGAGCUGACAUCAUCGGCGUAAAGCGUGAUUAUAGGAGAUAAAAAAUAAAGUCAAAAGAUCUCAAGGCCGUUAUACGCAUAUUGAGAUUCGUAGGCUCAGAAACGAAAGUAACUUUAAACUAAAGCCCUAGAACUCACGACAGCUAGGAAACAAACUGGGAUUAGAUACCCCACUAUGCCUAGUCAUAAACUUUGACGGUAAUACACACAUACCGUUCGCCAGGGAACUACAAGCGCAUUGCUUAAAACCCAACGGACUUGGCGGUGCCCCACACUCCACCUAGAGGAGCCUGUUCUAUAACUGAAACUACCCGUUAAACCUCACCACCCCUAGCCUACUCAGUCUAUAUACCGCCGUCGCAAGCCCACCCUGUGAAGGACUAAUAAUAAGCAAGACGGGCAUAACCCAAAACGUCAGGUCGAGGUGUAGCACAUGGGGUGGAAAGAAAUGGGCUACAUUUUCUGGUCACAGAAUACACGAAUAUCUGUUAUGAAAUACAUCAAUUGAAGGAGGAUUUAGCAGUAAAAAGAAAAUAGAGAGUUCUUUUGAAAUUGGCUCUGGGGCGCGCACACACCGCCCGUCACUCUCUGCCUCAUACACACACAAGCCGCAAGUACUAAAUAAUUUACCCAUGGCUACAACUAUGGCGGAGACAAGUCGUAACACGGUAAGUGUACCGGAAGGUGCACUUGGAUCAAU